rnacentral:rRNA from 1 species
CCGCCCUGGGUAAGUCGGGACCUAACGCGAGGCCGAAAGGCGUAGUGGAUGGAAAGCAGGCGAAAGAUUCCUGCACCCGUAUAUGGAGCGAAGGAGUGACGGAGACGGAUAGUGUGACCCUCUUAAUGGAUUGAGGGCGAAGCGAAGCGGCUGGUUACCAGGCAAAUCCGGUAACCAUAAGGCUAGAGCGUGAUAGGUAAGCGAAAUCUUCGGAAAGUAGCGAAGCACAUGAUGACGGCUUCCAGGAAAAGCUUCUGGCAAUGCAUAUGCGGCCCGUACCAAAACCGACACAGGUGGGCAGGGAGAGAAUCCCGAGGUGAGCGAGAGAACUGUUGCCAAGGAACUCGGCAAAAUGACUCCGUAAGUUAGCGAGAAGGAGUGCUUAAGCAAUUAAGCCGCAGUGAAGAGGCCCAAGCGACUGUUUAACUAAAACACAGCUCUCUGCGAAGUCGCAAGACGAAGUAUAGGGGGUGACACCUGCCCGGUGCUGGAAGGUUAAGAGGAUCUGUUAAGAGCGAUCUGAAGCAGUGAUCCGAAGCCCCAGUGAACGGCGGCCGUAACUAUAACGGUCCUAAGGUAGCGAAAUUCCUUGUCAGGUAAGUUCUGACCCGCACGAAAGGUGUAACGAUUUGGGCGCUGUCUCGGCAGCAGACUCGGUGAAAUCUUAGUACCUGUGAAAAUGCAGGUUACCCGCAACUAGACGGAAAGACCCCAUGGAGCUUUACUGCAGCCUGAUAUUGAAUUCUGGUCAUACAUGUACAGGAUAGGUGGGAGACAAAGAGACGUGCACGCCAGUGUACGAGGAGUCGACGUUGGGAUACCACUCUUGUGUGACCGGGGUUCUAACCUGGUAUCGAGAACAGGUACGGGGAGAGUGUCAGGUGGGCAGUUUGACUGGGGCGGUCGCCUCCCAAAGAGUAACGGAGGCGCCCAAAGGUACGCUCAGAUUGGAUGGAAACCAAUCGUCGAGUGCAAUUGCAGAAGCGUGCUUGACUGUGAGACUUACAAGUCGAACAGGGACGAAAGUCGGGAAUAGUGAUCCGGCGGUGCCGAAUGGAAGGGCCGUCGCUCAACGGAUAAAAGCUACCCUGGGGAUAACAGGCUGAUCUCGCCCAAGAGUUCACAUCGACGGCGAGGUUUGGCACCUCGAUGUCGGCUCAUCGCAUCCUGGAGCUGGAUUCGGUUCCAAGGGUUGGGCUGUUCGCCCAUUAAAGCGGUACGCGAGCUGGGUUCAGAACGUCGUGAGACAGUUCGGUCCCUAUCUGUCGUGGGCGCAGGAAAUUUGAGAAGAGCUGUCCUCAGUACGAGAGGACCGGGAUGGACGCAUCAAUGGUGGACCAGUUGUCACGCCAGUGGCAUAGCUGGGUAGCUAAAUGCGGAAGGGAUAAACGCUGAAGGCAUCUAAGUGUGAAACCCACUUCAAGAUGAGAUUUCCCAUUGCGCAAGCAAGUAAGACCCCUUAAAGACGAUAAGGUAGAUAGGUCAGGAGUGUAAGCAUGGUGACAUGUUAAGCGGACUGAUACUAAUAGGUCGAGGGCUUGACCG